AUUGAACGCUGGCGGCAGGCCUAACACAUGCAAGUCGAACGGUAACAGAAAGCAGCUUGCUGCUUUGCUGACGAGUGGCGGACGGGUGAGUAAUGUCUGGGAAACUGCCUGAUGGAGGGGGAUAACUACUGGAAACGGUAGCUAAUACCGCAUAACGUCGCAAGACCAAAGAGGGGGACCUUCGGGCCCCUUGCCAUCGGAUGUGCCCAGAUGGGAUUAGCUAGUAGGUGGGGUAACGGCUCACCUAGGCGACGAUCCCUAGCUGGUCUGAGAGGAUGACCAGCCACACUGGAACUGAGACACGGUCCAGACUCCUACGGGAGGCAGCAGUGGGGAAUAUUGCACAAUGGGCGCAAGCCUGAUGCAGCCAUGCCGCGUGUAUGAAGAAGGCCUUCGGGUUGUAAAGUACUUUCAGCGGGGAGGAAGGGAGUAAAGUUAAUACCUUUGCUCAUUGACGUUACCCGCAGAAGAAGCACCGGCUAACUCCGUG
rnacentral:rRNA from 1 species